GUAAAGUUCUGUUGUUAGGGAAGAACAAGUACCAGAGUAACUGCUGGUACCUUGACGGUACCUAACCAGAAAGCCACGGCUAACUACGUGCCAGCAGCCGCGGUAAUACGUAGGUGGCAAGCGUUGUCCGGAAUUAUUGGGCGUAAAGCGCGCGCAGGCGGUUUCUUAAGUCUGAUGUGAAAGCCCACGGCUCAACCGUGGAGGGUCAUUGGAAACUGGGGAACUUGAGUGCAGAAGAGGAGAGUGGAAUUCCACGUGUAGCGGUGAAAUGCGUAGAGAUGUGGAGGAACACCAGUGGCGAAGGCGACUCUCUGGUCUGUAACUGACGCUGAGGCGCGAAAGCGUGGGGAGCGAACAGGAUUAGAUACCCUGGUAGUCCACGCCGUAAACGAUGAGUGCUAAGUGUUAGAGGGUUUCCGCCCUUUAGUGCUGCAGCAAACGCAUUAAGCACUCCGCCUGGGGAGUACGGUCGCAAGACUGAAACUCAAAGGAAUUGACGGGGGCCCGCACAAGCGGUGGAGCAUGUGGUUUAAUUCGAAGCAACGCGAAGAACCUUACCAGGUCUUGACAUCCUUCGCUACUUCUAGAGAUAGAAGGUUCCCCUUCGGGGGACGAAGUGACAGGUGGUGCAUGGUUGUCGUCAGCUCGUGUCGUGAGAUGUUGGGUUAAGUCCCGCAACGAGCGCAACCCUUGAUCUUAGUUGCCAGCAUUCAGUUGGGCACUCUAAGGUGACUGCCGGUGACAAACCGGAGGAAGGUGGGGAUGACGUCAAAUCAUCAUGCCCCUUAUGACCUGGGCUACACACGUGCUACAAUGGAUGGUACAAAGGGCUGCAAGACUGCGAAGUCAAGCCAAUCCCAUAAAACCAUUCUCAGUUCGGAUUGCAGGCUGCAACUCGCCUGCAUGAAGCCGGAAUCGCUAGUAAUCGCG
rnacentral:rRNA from 1 species